rnacentral:tRNA from 1 species
AAGGGAGACCUAAUUCAGGUAUGGGACGAAAAAAAAGUAGUCGCUACCAAGAAUCAAUCCCAAAAGGUCGGAGCGAGGUAUGAGACUUUCAAACUAGGUUCUGGGUUCAAACAAGACCUGAAUCAGGAACAAGGGCUAUUAGCUCAGGUGGUUAGAGCGCACCCCUGAUAAGGGUGAGGUCCCUGGUUCGAGUCCAGGAUGGCCCACCUGCACAGGUGGCAAAAACAAGAGAAGCGAGGAAUCAGCACCUUAUCUUAUCUAUAUAUAAGAGAGAAUGCUGGCUCUGAGUAAAGAGUCCAGAGGAACCUUGAAAACUGCAUAGAGCUAGGUGAAAAAGCCAAAAAAGAAGACCGCAA